GACGAACGCUGGCGGCGCGCCUAACACAUGCAAGUCGAACGGUUAAAGCACCUUCGGGUGUGUAUAAAGUGGCGAACGGCUGAGUAACACGUGGGCAACCUGCCCCUCGCACCGGGAUAGCCUCGGGAAACCGUGGUUAAUACCGGAUACUCCGGGACCCCCGCAUGGGGGGUGCCGGGAAAGCCCUGACGGCGAGGGAUGGGCCCGCGGCCUGUUAGCUUGUUGGCGGGGUAACGGCCCACCAAGGCGAUUAUGGGUAGCCGGACUGAGAGGUUGAACGGCCACAUUGGGACUGAGACACGGCCCAG
rnacentral:rRNA from 1 species